CGGGGCGUGGCUCAGCCUGGUAGAGCACUGCUUUCGGGAAGCAGGAGUCGGAGGUUCAAAUCCUCUCGCCCCGA
rnacentral:tRNA from 1 species